GAAUACACGAGUGGGAACACAGUAGCCCUGAAGUUCUCUACUGGUAAGAUCAAUGACCUUGACAUUAAAGUAUUUCUCCUCUUCCAAACAAAAUCCACCAUCGACGAAACCCAAUUAGACCUAAUCGCCAAAGAAUUUUCACUAUCCACCAACUUAUCGCCCGCUAAUCUGCUCAUUCUCUUCGAAUCAAACUCCUGAAACAACCUCCCAACUGAUUCAAAUGCGACUUUGGCAACGUUAUCGGAUUUAUCCAACAUGUUUUGCCCAAUUCGCGCCCACCAGUUCGAGACCUUAUCGAGCAAAUUCACAUUGUUUUCACAAAGAGUCACCAUAUCAUCCCGCGCCAAAAUGCAACCAAGGGUUUCAGUAAUCGAAAAAC
rnacentral:misc_RNA from 1 species